CUCCCCCCUCCCACGUUCCCGCUCGCUGAGCCUCCACUUUCGGUCUUUGCGGCCCUUUCUUCCUCUCCGUGCGGCGUGUGUGUCCUGAGCGCCAGUCUGCGUUUUGUCUCCUGCAUUUAGAGCCACAAAAAGCUGCACCCAAGCUUGUUUGAC
rnacentral:lncRNA from 1 species